rnacentral:lncRNA from 1 species
CAGGUUCAAGUGGAAAUGGUGCAAUCAUACACUUAUAAACCUGAACCAGAAAGCUCUAGUGUUGCACAUCCCAAUAAACUGUUCCUAUUGGCUAGUGGAGCUCAAUAUGUUUUGAUGUACCAACUGACAUAACAAAGACAGUACAUUUUGGUGAACCAAUUGGCAAAAAACAAAAGAAUGUUUCACCCCAGUUCUGAAGGUGCUGCUUUUGUUUUGAUCUAUACUUGUUGGUAGCAUAGGAGCCCCA